rnacentral:tRNA from 1 species
CGGGGUGUAGCGCAGCCUGGUUAGCGCACUGCGUUUGGGACGCAGGGGCCGGCGGUUCAAAUCCGCCCACCCCGA